AAACACUUUUCUCUAACAUCUUUCCUGAUUUCUAACUAUUUUAGUUACUCUCUAGUUAAAUCAUAACCAAUAUUACUUUUAUUCUUUCUCAUACCUUAUUUUUUAAUAACUAGAUCUAAAAAAACAAGGGACAAUUAUUAAAAUAUACCCAAACUGAGUCGAAAUCAGGGAUCCAUACACGAUGUGAUGUAAUCCCAAAAUCUCAUACAUUUAUUCACUAAAGAGACAGUUUUACCCCUAUAAUACAUUUUAUCUCUCUCAUCUCUAGCGUUUCCUUUUUCCUGUGUCUGUUCAUAUUACCGAAACUUGUUCCUUUUUUAUCAAACAUAUAGAUUAAAAAAAAUUAAUUGUAAAGAUUGAUUUUUUCAUCAUUCCGAGUAAAAUCCAAAAAAUAUUGAUGAAAAUUUAGUAAAAUAUUGAUUAAAAUGUCAAACAAAAUCAACAAAAAAUCAUAGAAGCUCAAGUUAAGAGAGUAGAUUAAUGGUAGUGAGAUUAUAGAUAAUAAAAAUCUGUUAAAUACUCUUUUCUGGGUUUGUGAUGAACAACACUAAAACUCAUC
rnacentral:lncRNA from 1 species